rnacentral:rRNA from 1 species
CACGUAGGGUGCGAGCGUUGUCCGGAAUUAUUGGGCGUAAAGAGCUCGUAGGCGGUGUGUCGCGUCGGCCGUGAAAACCUGCAGCUUAACUGUGGGCGUGCGGUCGAUACGGGCAUCACUGGAGUUCGGCAGGGGAGACUGGAAUUCCUGGUGUAGCGGUGAGAUGCGCAGAUAUCAGGAGGAACACCGGUGGCGAAGGCGGGUCUCUGGGCCGAUACUGACGCUGAGGAGCGAAAGCGUGGGGAGCGAACAGG